rnacentral:rRNA from 1 species
GACGAACGCUGGCGGCGUGCUUAACACAUGCAAGUCGAACGGUGAACGCGUGCGUUUGCUCCCUCCGGAACAGUGGCGCACGUGAGGGUCACAUGUGUACCCUCCCCCUCGCACUCUGAUAUCAUCAGUGGAAUCGACGUAUAAUACCGGAUGAGCCCCUGCUGGAUGUCCUCUGCUCGAGGAUAUCACCUCGGUUGGGGAUGGGCGCGGGUCCUAUCAGCUUGUUGGGGAGGUAACGGCUCACCAAGGCGACGACGGGUAGCCGGCCUGAGAGGGUGACCGGCCACACUGGGACUGAGAUACGGCCCAGACUCCUACGGGAGGCAGCAGUGGGGAAUAUUGCACAAUGGGCGGAAGCCUGAUGCAGCAACGCCGCGUGAGGGAUGACGGCCUUCGGGUUGUAAACCUCUUUUGGCAGGGAAGAAGCGAAAGUGACGGUACCUGCAGAAAAAGCACCGGCUAACUACGUG